rnacentral:lncRNA from 1 species
AUGACACCGAACAGCCCUCGGCACCCCAGGAGGGAUGAGACGGCCCACUCUCCCCCCUCGCCUGCGGCUUGGAGGCAUUGGGAGCGGCCGGUCUCCAUUGGGAUCCCGGGGCUGCGAGGGGAGGAGGGGCGGGGCAGUUCCGGUGUGCGUGUUGGGAGAGCGGCGGGAGCGCGGAGGACCUCAGGAGGGCGUCGCUGCGGGCCUCGCGGCUGGUGGGCACCUCUGCCUUCUAGGGCCACACAGAACAAAUCAGCUGUGAUGAACCAGGCCAGGCUUUGGCUCUGUCCUCUCAGGCUGGAGCAUGCACAGGGGGAUCAGCUCUGA